AAUGUUUAUAAAUGGAGGGCAGUAAAACUUGAAAAUAUGCCGCACAGCUAUAUGUUUUUAUUAGUGCAAAAAAAAGUAGUGCAUGUCUCCUUUCCAGGGAAAUCUAACAUUCUCCUCAAAACUUCCUGAAUGAAGAGUGACUGCAUAUGCAAUUUAGGCAGUUCCUAUGGAAAAUUGCAUUGCUGGUUUUACACAAGUGCAACCUAUAAGACCAUGGGCAGCACGACUUCCUGGUUCGAUGGGAACCCCAGCCGCUUGACAGAGUUUCACGAUGGAUUCUCCAGGGCCAUUAUUUACGUUAUGUAUAGCUGUAUGUACCCUUCCUUUAUAGUUUCUGAAACAACAUUAGCACUGUGUUGCAUACUUGAAGUGGAAGGAGCUGGUAUAUUAGAACCAAGAAAUAAUUUCUGUAGACCAGUUGUGCUGAUAGCUAUGUGAUUAAGUGCGACUUGUAUGGAUAGAUUAAUAGCUGCUGUUCGACGACCACGUUUCUUUGCGAUCACCUCAUUGUAAAGGUUGAACAUUUUUGAAUGCACAUUUUUCAACUUCUGUUUUUGUCGGAGGCUUCGGCCUUAGAAAGCGAGCUGAUUUUGUAGAGGCAGGAAUGAGUUGAACAUUCUUAUUAUGAACAGAUUUAGUCACUAAGUCAUACAAGUCUUUUGGUAG